rnacentral:rRNA from 1 species
AACGAACGCUGGCGGCAGGCCUAACACAUGCAAGUCGAACGCCCCGCAAGGGGAGUGGCGCACGGGUGAGUAACGCGUGGGAAUAUGCCCUUCGGUUCGGAAUAACACAGGGAAACUUGUGCUAAUACCGGAUACGAUCUACGGAUGAAAGAUUUAUCGCCGAGGGAGUAGCCCGCGUAGGAUUAGCUAGUUGGUGAGGUAAUGGCUCACCAAGGCGACGAUCCUUAGCUGGUCUGAGAGGAUGAUCAGACACACUGGGACUGAGACACGGCCCAGACUCCUACGGGAGGCAGCAGUGGGGAAUAUUGGACAAUGGGGGAAACCCUGAUCCAGCCAUGCCGCGUGAGUGAUGAAGGCCUUAGGGUUGUAAAGCUCUUUCGCCAGGGAAGAUAAUGACGGUACCUGGAAAAGAAGCCUCGGCUAACUCCGUGCCAGCCGCCGCGGUAAAAA